rnacentral:lncRNA from 1 species
UUAAGUAUUACAUUAAAUCAUUAAUAUUUACUAAUUAUUAAAUAAAUAUCUUAACAAACUUAUAUUUGAUGUAUAAAAUAGGUUCCUAUACGAGUUUGAUUUGGGGGUCAGGUUCGUGUUAAGUUCGAGUGUUGAUAAAAACAACACCAAAUUCCGUAUUUGUCAGACUAUUUUUUUUAGACUUUGAUACUUAUAACCAUACAUUACCCAUUUUGCAUCAAUUGAAUAUAAUCCUUUCAAAUUUAGUGUCAAAUAAAAUUUUAGAUAUCCAUACACAUUGACAUCCCUAAGAGCCCUGCCUUGUGGUUGAGAACCCUAGAUUGAGAAAUC